rnacentral:tRNA from 1 species
GGGGGUAUAGCUCAGUGGUAGAGCACGUGCUUAGCAUGCACGUUGUCCUGGGUUCAAUCCCCACUAUCUCCA